UUUACGUCAUCUCUCAUUACUCCCUCUGCAAUCCUCUCUCCACUCCACUCCCCAGGCCCUGCCGCUUUCUCCUCUCCAGCACUCAGAAGUGUUUGCAGUCCCUUGAAUGAACUGGACUUUCUUUCCGCUUGGGAUGUUGUUCCUGAGGAUGGGAACAAUUCACACAUGCUCCACCUUGAGGACUCCUGGUCAUACUUCAAAUCUCAGUGUAGGAUUUCUUCCUCCAGGAAGCCUUCCUUCCAGGCUGGAGUGGGUGUCCCUGCUACUUGCUGCCAUAGUGCACCGUGCUUACCACAUCCCAGCUCUUCAUUGACAAGUACUCCUGAGCAUGUCUAUGUAGCAGCCACUGAGAUGGAGGGGCUAUGUAAGAAUGAAUAUGAGUGGCAGCUGAUAGCCAGCCAACAGCAAAGACCUCAGUCCUACGACCUCAAAGACUGGAUUCUGCUGACACCUUGAAUGAAUUUGAAAGUAGAAUCUUCCCCAGAGCCUUCAGAUAAGAGCCCUGAUGGCUGAUUUCAACUUUGAAAUCAUCUUGAUUUCAACUUUGGAGUAUACUGAACAGAGCCCAGAAGUGCCCGCCUGGAUUCUUCACCUACGGAAAUGUGACAGAGAAAGAGACACAGGGAGGAUGACCGCCUAGCACCAGGUCUAUGAAGAUAUUUCUGCAUUUUUCUAAAUUAAUCAUUCCCACAUCUGGGAGAAACAGAGGACAAGAAUUUUUAGCACCUUAUUUAUAAAGGCGGAAAACCCAAAAGCCAGAGAAGAGAAAAUGAAACUGAAGCCCAGAGAGGUUGUGUCUCACCUGAGGCUACACAGGAAAGAAGUGGCAAAGCAAGGACAUGAACCCCAAACUGCCUGACUUUAAGGUCUCUGUUCCCUCCAUUAUCGCAUAGUGGAGUCCUGGGUUGGGAUAUUCUUUCUGGUUUGGCUUCUGAGAUAACCUCGUC